GCGCUAAUAGCUCAGUUGGGAGAGCGUCAGACUGAAGUCCAUUCGGUCAUAUCCACAUCCGGGGUAAUCUGAAGGUCACCCGUUCAAUCCGGGUUUGGCGCA
rnacentral:tRNA from 1 species